UACGUAGGGACCAAGCGUUGUUCGGAUUUACUGGGCGUAAAGGGCGCGUAGGCGGCGCGGUAAGUCACUUGUGAAAUCUCUGAGCUUAACUCAGAACGGCCAAGUGAUACUGCAGUGCUAGAGUGUGGAAGGGGCAAUCGGAAUUCUUGGUGUAGCGGUGAAAUGCGUAGAUAUCAAGAGGAACACCUGAGGUGAAGACGGGUUGCUGGGCCAACACUGACGCUGAGGCGCGAAAGCCAGGGGAGCAAACUGG
rnacentral:rRNA from 1 species